UACGUAGGUGACAAGCGUUGUCCGGAUUUACUGGGCGUAAAGAGCGCGCAGGCGGUCGUUCAAGUCGAGUGUGAAAGCCCCCGGCUCAACUGGGGAGGGUCAUUCGAUACUGAUCGACUCGAAGGCAGGAGAGGUAAGUGGAAUUCCGAGUGUAGAGGUGAAAUUCGUAGAUAUCGGAAGGAACAUCAGUGGCGAAAGCGACUUCCUGGACCAAUACUGACGCUCAUGUGCGAAAGCGUGGGGAGCAAACAGG
rnacentral:rRNA from 1 species